rnacentral:misc_RNA from 1 species
GAUGAAGAACGCAGUGAAAUGCGAUACUUGGUGUGAAUUGCAGAAUCCCGUGAACCAUCGAGUCUUUGAACGCAAGUUGCGCCCGAAGCCAUUAGGCCGAGGGCACGCCUGCCUGGGCGUCACACGUCGUUGCCCCCCCCAUCUACACCUUCGGGAUUGCGGGGGGCGGAUGAUGGCCUCCCGUGCGCCUCGCCGCGCGGUUGGCAUAAAUGCCAAGUCCUCGGCGACGCACGCCACGACAAUCGGUGGUUGCGAAACCUCGGUUGCCCGUCGUGUGCGGUCGUCGCGCAUCGAGGGCUCGAAAAAAUUGCCGAGUUCCGGCUCGGCUUUCAACGCGACCCCAGGUCAGGCGGGGUUACCCGCUGAAUUUAAGCAUAUCAAUAAGCGGAGGA